AUACAAUGUGAAGAGUGGUGUCUUUGACUCUUUUGUCUAUUCCUGAGAUUACUUACCUACUACUGGGUUGCUGUAGAAAUGAGCUAAUCUGUGUGCCUUUCAUCAGAGGAUCAAGGAUCUGAGAUAGCUCCUGGGCAGGUGUGUACCUGCACCAGGAACUCAAAGUGGAAUAGCCAAAAACAAUCCCCUACAAAUGGCACUUAAUGUGGAAGAGGUCAGUCGGAUGAUCCUGGGCCAGAAGGCUGAAGAGUGAUGCUUCAAUGUUUUGAAGGACACUGCCUUGACCAAUGUUUGAGUUUGAGAAGCUAUGUUUGGGGCUUCCUACAUACUCAGGAAAUAUUUAGUUCUUUCUCAGAGUUCUGAUGAGAUCUCUGACUCUUGAUUGAAAACUUGGAUGAAGACAUUCCUAUGCACUGAAAGAAGCAGCUUCUCUGAGGUUAUCUGAGUAAGACACUGCUCUGUGCAUAUAGCAGUAUGGCAUUGUGGGUCAUUUUGUUGCCCCUUUCCUCAGGAGAAUGAUAAUAUUUAGAUCCCCUACUUCCCCUGCCCAUAACUGAUCUCAUCUCAGCUUCUUGACCAGUUUGGUGUCCAUCUUAUGAAGUCUUGCACUUAAUGUGAUGGUGGCCAGCAGCAACUACAUCUGUAGAACUGUGAUAAAACAGGUCUGCUUUAUAAAUGUAGGAACCACUUCCUCUGAACAUUCUUUCUGCUAACUUCUUUGAUCUUCUCCAUCCUUCAAGAGAAGAUGAUGAAGACCGAGAUGAUUUCAAGUGCUCUCCUUCAUACUUAAGCUGCUAAUGCCAGGAAAGACGCAACAAAUCGGAAUCUUCUGCGGCAAAAGCUUUAUUGCUUACAUCUUCAGGAGCAAGAGCGAGAAUGGGGAAACCCCAUCCCUUUUAAGGAGAAUUAUCCUCCGCCUAGGACGUGUCGCUCCCUGAUUGGCUGCAGCCCAUUGGCCGAGUUGUCGUCACGGGGAAGGCAGAGCACAUGGAGUGGAGAACUACCCUUGGCACAUGCGCAGGUAUUUUUCCCUGACCCAAACUCUUGCGCGCACCUGACUAGACCAGCAAGAACGACACUGCAACAGGAUCCUUCUGCACACGUUUAUUGGGAGAGCUUGAUUGCAGAGGCGAAAAGACUUCGAGCCCAGAACUGGUGCUGCUUUUAUAGGCCUAGGAGAGGCGUGUCUCAUACCCGGAUUGGUUAUGCACUAAGCCUCAUUUGCAUGUUCCUCAUCUGAUUGGCUACUCUCUCUCAGUACCUCACAGAGCCUCAUUAUCAUACCUCAUUUGCAUGUCUCACAUCCGAUUGGUUACUCUUAGUACCUUACAGAACCUCAUUAUCAUACCUGGGCCAGGCAGUGUCUUUGCAAAAAACUUUACUGCAUAUGUACACAUUGGUUGUUUGUCCAAUCUUAUGCGUGGUGGCCAGCAGUAGUCAGGGCCACUCAGCAACGGCACAUGUGGCUUCCCACAUCUCCCCCUAUUUGCUUUAAUAAAAUAAGGCUGGACUAGGCCUGUGCAAUUAUGCCCA